GUUUCAAAAAUCUGCAAUCUCCUUUGUGGGGGGAGGGGCUUAGGAGACCGUUUUGGGCUUUAGUGGAAAGGGGGUAGGGAUUGAGAAGUUGUCAAUUUUCAAAUUUUUGGGCUAAGUCCUGGCUCUUUGC